UUUCUGGUAGCUUAAUUGGUAGAGCAUAUGGCUGUUAACCAUAGGGUUGUAGGUUCGAGUCCCACUCAGGAAG
rnacentral:tRNA from 1 species